rnacentral:SRP_RNA from 1 species
GCUGGGUGCAGUAGCACGUGCCUGUGAUCCCAGCUACUCAGGAGGCUGAGGUGGGAGGAUCGCUUGAGCCCAGGAGUUCUGGGCUGUAGUGCGCUAUGCCAGUUGGGUGUCACACUAAGUUUGGUGUCAAUAUGGUGACCUCCCGGGAGUGGGGGACCACUGGGUUGCCUAAGGAGGGGUGAAACGGCCCAGGUCAGAAACCAAGCAGGUCAAAACUCCUCUGCUGAUCAGUAGUGGGAUCGUGCCUGUGAAUAGCCACUGCACUCCAGCCUGGGCAACAUAGCGAGACCCCAUCUCU